rnacentral:tRNA from 1 species
GGGCAUGUAGCUCAGUGGUAGAGCACUUACCUAAUGUGCAUAAGACUCAAGUCUCAUGCCCA